UACGAGGGGGGCAAAUGUUGUUCGGAAUCACUGGCGUAAAGGGAGCGUAGGCGGGUUCUUAAGUAAGGUGUUUAAUCCCGGGGCCCAACCCCGGACCGGCACUUUAAACUGGGAAUCUUGAAUAGUGGAGAGGUCGGUGGAAUUGGGGGUGUAGCGGUGGAAUGCGUAGAGAUCCCCAAGAACACCAGUUGCGAAGGCGGCCGACUGGACACAGUAU
rnacentral:rRNA from 1 species